rnacentral:rRNA from 1 species
GAGUUUGAUCCUGGCUCAGAUUGAACGCUGGCGGCAUGCCUUACACAUGCAAGUCGAACGGCAGCACGGGAGCUUGCUCCUGGUGGCGAGUGGCGAACGGGUGAGUAAUGCAUCGGAACGUAUCCUGGAGUGGGGGAUAACGUAGCGAAAGUUACGCUAAUACCGCAUAUUCUGUGAGCAGGAAAGCGGGGGACCUUCGGGCCUCGCGCUCUUGGAGCGGCCGAUGUCGGAUUAGCUAGUUGGUGAGGUAAAGGCUCACCAAGGCGACGAUCCGUAGCAGGUCUGAGAGGAUGAUCUGCCACACUGGAACUGAGACACGGUCCAGACUCCCACGGGAGGCAGCAGUGGGAAUUUUGGACAAUGGGGGCAACCCUGAUCCAGCCAUGCCGCGUGAGUGAAGAAGGCCUCGGUUGUAAGUACGUACUUUCGUCGUAC